rnacentral:rRNA from 1 species
GAUGAACGCUGGCGGCGUGCCUAAUACAUGCAAGUCGAGCGAACAGACGAGGAGCUUGCUCCACUGACGUUAGCGGCGGACGGGUGAGUAACACGUGGAUAACCUACCUAUAAGACUGGGAUAACUUCGGGAAACCGGAGCUAAUACCGGAUAAUAUAUUGAACCGCAUGGUUCAAUAGUGAAAGACGGUUUUGCUGUCACUUAUAGAUGGAUCCGCGCCGCAUUAGCUAGUUGGUAAGGUAACGGCUUACCAAGGCAACGAUGCGUAGCCGACCUGAGAGGGUGAUCGGCCACACUGGAACUGAGACACGGUCCAGACUCCUACGGGAGGCAGCAGUAGGGAAUCUUCCGCAAUGGGCGAAAGCCUGACGGAGCAACGCCGCGUGAGUGAUGAAGGUCUUCGGAUCGUAAAACUCUGUUAUUAGGGAAGAACAAAUGUGUAAGUAACUAUGCACGUCUUGACGGUACCUAAUCAGAAAGCCACGGCUAACUACGU